rnacentral:rRNA from 1 species
GCUCAGAACGAACGCUGGCGGCGUGCCUAACACAUGCAAGUCGAGGGAGAACGCCGCAAGGUGAGUAACCAGGCGAACGGGUGCGUAACACGUGGAUAAUCUACCUCGAUGACUGGGACAACUGGCCGAACGGCUUGCUAAUACCAGAUAAGCCAACGCCGUCUUCGGACGGAGAGGGAACAGGCGGCCUCUGUAUACAAGCUGUCACAUCGAGAUGAGUCCGCGGCCAAUCAGCUAGUUGGCGGGGUAACAGCCAACCAAGGCUACCAGGAUUAGCUGGUCUGAGAGGAUGAUCAGGGACCCUGGAACUGAGACACGGUCCAGACUCCUACGGGAGGCAGCAGUGGGGAAUCUUGCGCAAUGGGCGAACGCCUGACGCAGUAACGCCGCGUGUGUGAUGAAGGUCUUCGGAUCGUAACGCACUGUCGCGAGGGAAGAUACGCUACGAGUUAACAUCUCGGAGUUAAGACGGUACCUCGAGAGGAAGCACCGGCUAACUCUGUGCCAGCAGCCGCGGUAAUACAGAGGGUGCGAGUGUUGUUCGGAAUUAUUGGGCGUAACGCGCUUGUAGGCGGCUUGUCGAGUCUCGUGUGAACUGGACCGGCUUAACCUGGGAAGUGCGCGAGAACCUAGCGAGUUUGAGUGCCGGAGAGGGUCGCGGAAUUCCAGGUGUAGAGGUGAACUUCGUAGAUAUCGGGAGGAACACCAGUGGCGAAGGCGGCGACCUGGACAGACACUGACGCUGAGACGCGAACGCGUGGGGAGUAACCAGGAUUAGAUACCAUGGUAGUCCACGCUGUAACCGAUGGGUGCUAGCUGUGGUGG